AGACCCCCAAAAGAGGCUGCAGAUUCUUGGUGGACAGCUCUCAUAUCCCCUCCAGGGAACAUGAUGAAAAAUGUCUUCAGAAAAAUAGCUUUAUGAAGGUAAGAGGACUUUUUGCACCUGCAAGACAUGUCUGAAAGCUCCUCAGGUCAAAACACAAGUAGUCAAGAGAUUUGUCCAUCUAAUUCAUCAUACUACUCUGAUCCAAGUGAGACCCACACUGGGUCAGCUCCAUCAAGGAGAAGAACAUUCUACCCACGUUUGGAUUCUGGAAUAUCAUCCUUGCUUCCAUCAGAUUCUUGUAAGUACCUCACUUGGCACAAGGUAGAACAACAUGACGUUCAAGGAAGUCAACCACGUUACCCAAGAGUAAGAGAAGGUAAAAGAAUAAAUGUGUGCCUUUUUCGUGUACAUCCUCUGAGUAGAAUUUUUUGUGGAUUAAAAGACAUUACUUGAAGAAAAAAAAAAGACAUCAUUUGGAGGACCCUCUGAAGAAGAGCAACUUUUCAAACAAGUAGAGUGUGCCUUGCCCCCAAGGAAAAGAGUUCUUGAAAAAACAAAUUGGAAACAUGACUACAAGAAAACUGGGAAGACUGCAAGAAUUAGAACAUUUCAUUUCAGGAUUUGGGGGAUCCCUACCAAGUUGAAAAUUUUAACAGAAUUCUUAGAAGACUAAUUCGAGUUGAAACCCUCUGGUUAGUGGAUAAUUCUCUGGUGGACUUAAGUGCCAUAAGAUUGCCAAGAGUAUUCUCCUGUUUGCCAAACUUAAAAAUGCUGGAUGGAAUCUUGAAGCUACCAGAAGAUUGUGCAUCACCAGAAACCAACAUUUUUUCAAAAAUAUGCCUUGUAUCCUAACGCAGUCUGUAUAGAAAGAAAGCAAUAUCAUUGUUGCUAAAAGCUAAUAAACACAGGAAAUGCAUGAUUAAAUAUUGCAGUUUAUUUUAUAUCUUUUUGCUUUUCUAAAUCAAGGCAAAAACAUGCUAACUGACAAGAAAAUCAUGGGUUUUAUGCAAGGAUAACAAGUGCUGGGUUGCUUAGCUAUGAAGAAGGCUAGGCUCACUGCAUAUCAGAAGAUGUACAGUGUUGGAGAAUGCAGGGAUUUUUAUCAGCAAUCAAACUAUAUUUGUGGAAAUUUUGUGCAUAAGUGCCAAAGAUGGCUGACAUCUGACCACAUUCUAUUUAACUCAACUGAAUGACACCAAGCUCUCAUCCUAAAACUUAUAGUUACAUCCACUCUUCUGAAAUAUUUAAUUAUUCUCCAAUACACUGGAAGUAAUAGAUAUAAAAAGAAUGUGCAUGUGCAACUUAGCAUCUCGUAUCUAAUUUUGCGUCCCAAGUUCACUCUUCCCCUGGAAGUCCCAUGUCUACCAGGUGCUGGAUUAUCUGGAUGGAUCAGUCCAAAACAAUUUCAGGGAAUAAACUGUGUAGGAGAUACAAUUUUCUGAGACAGAAACAUAACGCAAAUAACUCUUUGUUAGAAAAUAAUUUCAGUGACAGAAAGCCUUUCUGUUCAUAAAGAAAACUUACAUAUCAACAAACCUAGCUCCUCACCGGUCCCAGUGAAUGCUUACAUCAAUCAACUCUACAAUAUCCAGUAAAGGACUUUCCAAUUCCCCUUUGAAUAAACUGAGGUAUUGGAAACAUCUAAACAAAUGGUUUUUAAUUCCUCCUAAUCUUCAGGAAGUUCUUCCUUAUACUGAGCUGAUAUCUGCCUUCUGUAACUUUCAACUAAUUAUUCAAAUCUCUCAAGUGAUUAUAAUUAAUUCCAUCUUAUAAGGAAUUUUUCUCAGCUUCCGGGCUCUCGAAAAUACCCUAAUAUUUUCUCUAAUAUUCCAGUGGAAAUGUAAAUAGAUAACGUAAGAGUCUGUGGGGUUAGGAGGGUGGCAGAAAGGUAAGGGAAAGCUAAUGAGAAAUAGCCAAAGCAAGAAAAAGAAUUUUAUUUUCCUCAAGUUCUUUAUACAUCCAAAGUGGAAGAUUCCUAAAAUAAAUUCCCCAUACCAAAUUUUAAAAAUUAAGUUAGCAAGCUUACUUUUUAAUUUAUUUAGAAGCCAACUACUUUCGUUAAUUAUUUCUUUCCAGAAUAGAGCAAUUAUCACUAAUUGUCAUUAUAAUGCCAAACUAUGUUAAUAGAUGCCUAUUUUUUUUAAGACUAAUUGCAAUCAUGAAACCAAAUAUCUAAUUAAUUUUAGAGCUUUGGAGCAGAUGCAUCAGUAUUUGAAUCAUUCAGGUGUAUAUUUGCUUAUCUGCUUUUUUUGUCUCUUCUAAAGAAGUAUUAUAUGUGUUCUGUUUAUAAUUUCUAAAUGGUCAUUUCAAAACCGAUUAUACGAGUUUAUACAAAUCAUAGUGAAAUUUGUUGCUUAAAAAAUCUUCAUUUUUCUCUAAGCUCUCAGUAUCCUUGAGCUAUAUAUAUUUUACGGCAAUUUUUACUUAAUAGUUUGUAUGCUAGCUAUUUUUGACAAUGACUACUAAAAUGCAAGUUUCUUCAAGGGCGAUUCAUCUUAGUUCUUCUUUAUACCCCUCAAAAAACUCAGUGUUAUUCUCAAUGAGUAUUGAGUAGGUGAGUGAACUUUGAAUGGAUACUCCUUGAAAUUAUAUUUCUGGAGCUGGAAAACUUUAAAAAAAUGUAUGUUAUGAGUCUAAAGAAAUAAACGUUAUAUGGCUGAAAAAAUAUUUUGUGAAAA